rnacentral:rRNA from 1 species
GAUGAACGCUGGCGGCGCGCCUAACACAUGCCAGUCGAACGAUUAAAGCACCUUCGGGUGUGUAUAAAGUGGCGAACGGCUGAGUAACACGUGGGCAACCUGCCCCUUUCAUUGGGAUAGCCACGGGAAACCGUGGAUAAUACCGAAUACUUCGAGACUUCCGCAUGGAAGACUCGAGAAAGCUCCGGCGGAGAGGGAUGGGCCCGCGGCCUGUUAGCUUGUUGGUGGGGUAACGGCCUACCAAGGCAAUGAUGGGUAGCUGGGUUGAGAGACCGACCAGCCAGAUUGGGACUGAGACACGGCCCAGACUCCUACGGGAGGCAGCAGUGGGGAAUCUUGCACAAUGGGCGAAAGCCUGAUGCAGCGACGCCGCGUGCGGGAUGAAGGCCUUCGGGUUGUAAACCGCUUUCAGCGGGGACGAGGCGAAAGUGACGGUACCUGCAGAAGAAGCCCCGGCUAACUACGUG